UUAUGUCUGCAUUUGUGCUUUAUAGAUAAUAUGGAUGGCUGUCUGUUCUUGGGAUGGAGAGUAGAAGCCGAAAUUCAGCUAUGCAUUUCCAACAUACGUAGCCUUAUUUCCUCUAUGUAUUGUUCUGGCCAUGUCAGUUUACCAAGUUUUUAAAUUUGGUAUUUUCAGUACAGACAAAUGAUGGUUCUGGACAUGCAUGAUUUUGCAUACGUGCAGUCUCUUUACCUUCAUAAAGUAUCCAUUUGAGCAACAAAUACACAAAAUGACUAUCAAAUUUGAUUGGAGAUUCUUAUGAAUAGUAUUUGGUAUUACGGUGGCUGUUCUUCCCACACUGUCUGGAGGCUGGGGGCCUCUGGAUGGGGGACAGCAGGCUUCAGCUGAACCCUGGUAAGACAGAGGGGUUGUGGGUGUGUGGAGCCUCGGGAUCAGCUUGUCUCUGCCAUCUGCUGGUAUGUUUGGCACUUCCUCUGGACACUGGCUUGCCCACCCACCUGGAUGAGCUCGUCUCCGCUGCUACUCCUGGUGCCCUCUCUGGUCACUGUCUCACCCAUUUAAUGCCUGCUGGCUUCACGCUCUCUCUCUCUCUCUCUCUUUCUCUCUCUCUCUCUUUCUCUCUCUCUCUCUUUCUCUCUCCACCCACCUUGCUGUUUCUCAUCUUCCUUCACUCUUUGUCCUCCUUCCUUCUGGGUGAUUCCCUCUCCCUGGUGGUCAUCCUGGGAUGCCCCUUCCUGCCACUGGCUGGGUGCCACCCCUCAGGCGUCCACAUCUGAUCACCAGCCAAGCGCCACUGCCCCAGGACACCUGCAGUCCCCUACCUCCCAGCUGAUCAGCUGUGCAUCACGGAUGACACCAAUCUUAUCUCUGCCUUGGACACCUACAGACACCCGGUGCCCAGCUGAUCAGCUGUGCACUGCUGCCGUUGUGGAUCUUGAAUCCAGCCAGCUGUUGUCCAGCUGAUCAGCUCCAGUGAACACUGCUGCUGGCCAGGGCUCUGGCAUAGCUCCGGUGAACAUCGCUGCUCCAGCCCAGCUACACCCCUCUAUUACUUCUUAUUUAAUUAAAUAAAUGCAGAUAGCUAAAAGCAAUCUUUGCUUCUAGUUUCUUUGUUAUUUGAAAAAUAUAAACGAAAGGAAUCUUAAUGUACAUUGCAGGAUGGUAUACCUAAGUCUUUCACCCUUUCACCAUGGUAGAAACAUACCUGGCAAUCAUUUCCUCCAUAUUUCCCAUGCUGUAGCUUUCAUCUUGUUUUCAGUUCAUGGAUGAGAUAGACUUAGGUCAUCCUUGGCUAUAUCAGAGUUAGUGUAGUGAAUGACUUUGAUGGCCGUGGCAACAGCCAUUAUGCUUUUGCCAUUAGCUUGGAAGUAUUGUGACUACUGAGGGUGCUUGGAAGUAUUGUGACAACAGAGGGGGCCAACAGAGCAGGGCUUUUCAGCUGUUUCAUUUUGAUAUGAAUGCUCCCCCUUCCCUCUGCUUUGCCUCUGCUACCACCUUUCUCCUGUUUUCUCCCCAAAGAGCUGGAGGUAGCAAGCUUCAGGAUUGUGCAGUUGAGCUACACUGCUCAGCUGGUUGUUCUAAAACUGUUUUAAUUCUAUGGGUUACUGAUUUAGCACAAGGCUGAAUUAGCUAAACAGCCACAUGAUAUAGGAAAUAGACGGCUGUAUUUUUAAACAUGCAAAUGGUGAUAGAAGAGCAAUGGAGCUUCCCAGCUCUUCCUGUUACCUUGCUAUGAGCUAAACUCAUAUCAUGGUUGCACGUGAUGUCAGUCAGCCUCACUAAAUGAAGGGUAGGUUGAUAUAAAUGUUAAGCUCAGGAAAACUAUACUGUGAGGAUUGAUAAUUGUAAUGUAAGUGCAGUGUCCAGUGGAAUAUAAAAAUUCCAGUAAGUGAAUUUCAUGAUCAUGUUUAAGGGAAAGUCCUCCUGCAUCUGAGGCAAGUUCAGUUUAAUUCCAGUUUCCUCAGUGAUAAGCCAACUGCUCCAGGGAACCUACAAAUAGGAUUCUAGUAAUCUCUCCACAGUGAUGCUGUCCACAUAUUGUUAUUCUAUAUGGUAUCCUGUUUUUGAAGGAGAUUCCCUCAGUAGACCUACUUUUAUGAAUUCAUCUGAUUCUCAUUUUAGAGCUAAGCCCUUAGCCAGCAUCAGAUUCUGAGGCACAGAAUUCUUUAAAUUGAAAGUUUUUUAAGUUGUCCGUAUUGGCAAUCAUGCUCAUUGGGGAAAUUUGUUCUGUUGUUGGGGGAGAUAAUUUUUAUCUCCUCCAACCAUAUUAAUUUUUUUGAGAUAUCUUUUUCUAAGAUAAUAGCUUAAUUGCAUCAGUCUUGUCUCACUUGAAAUAUGCUUUCAACAUUUUAGUUACUUGGCUGUCUUAAUUUUCUUUUAAAGAGAACUGUUACUGACUACAAUUGGGUGUGUACUGACUACACAUCAAUUGGUUGUGAAAAACUAUUAAUCCAAACCUAUGUAUGAAGUCCAUGGUUGUUAUUAGAGAGGACAGGAUAAUUCUCAUGCUUCCACCUCUUAAAAGGUAGAACAAAUACAGAAGAAUAUGCUAUUUAUUGAUAUCUGUGAUAUCUGACUGUAUGUAUUUUAUUGGAUCAAUAAUCCAGUGCUAGCCAUUCGUUUUAUUGCACAGGUGGUUAAAAUCAUUUGACUUACAUAUAUAUAAAUAUUAUAAAAGAGGACAACUUCAUGACAAAUAUCAAAAAUAUGGACCAAUCACGUUGUGAUUUUGUUUGUGUUAACAUUUGUAAAGGGUUUCUAUAGAAUUCCAAAGGCCUUUCUUAAUCCUUUUCAUGGAAGUUUGA